rnacentral:rRNA from 1 species
AUGAGCGUUGUGGUGAGCAAGUCCUCGCCGGUGGUCGUGUACCCCGCCGAACCUCAGGCGCCGGCCGGCGACGUCCAACUCUCCUCUUUCGACCAGCGCAUCCCGCCUUUCGCGUGCACACUGCUCCUCAUGUUCGACCAUCCGAUCGACAAUCCCAUCGAGACCAUCAAGCGGGCGCUGUCGCGAGCGCUCCUCCACUACCGCCCUGUGUGCGGCCGCCUCGCCGGAGCCGAUCACCGCAUCGUGUGCACCGACGAGGGCGUGCCGUUCGUGGGGGCGUCCGCCGGCUGCGCCCUGGAUCUGGAAAAGGUCACUCCGGCGCUGCUCGCGGAUCUCGCCGUCGCCUACGCUGGUCCUUUUUGCCGGCGCGCCGACCCGCUGCUGCAGAUGCAGGUCACGGAGUUCUCCUGCGGCGGCUUCGUCGUCGGGGUCACGUCGAACCAUGUCCUGGCCGACGGCAUCGGGAUUGGGCAGUUCCUGCAGGCCGUCGGCGAGCUCGCCCGCGGGAUGCCGCGGCCGUCCGUCAUCCCGGUCAGGUCGGCCGCCGCGAUCCGGGAUCUCCCUCCGCCCACGGCCACGGCGGAGGAGAGGCGCUCCUUGAUGAAGCCCAAGGAGAAGGAGGGCCAGGGCGCCUUUCUCUACAUUAUCGUCCCGUCGAGCCUCAUCGGCCGCGUCAAGGCCAAGUGCGCCUGCACGCUGUUCGAAGCCGUCACGGCGGUGCUGUGGCGGUGCCGGACACGCGCGGCCAUCCAAGACCCGGAGGCCCCCGCGCCGCUCGUCUUCCCAAACAACGCGCGCGAGCUCUUCGGCGCGCACGACGGCUACUACGGCAACUGCACCAUCAUGAAGUCGGUGCGAGCGACGCGCGCCCAGGUGGCCGACGGCGACAUCAGGGACGUGGUGCGGCUCAUCAGGCGCGGCAAGGAGACUCUGCUGGAGGCCGAGGCCGAGGGCGGCGGCGCGGAGACCGGGGAAGACCUGUACAACAGGCUGGCCGUGUCGAGCUGGCGGCGCAUCGGGUUCGACGCGGCCGACUUCGGCGGCGGCACGCCGGCGCGGGUGAUGUGGCACGAGGACCGGAUGGUGGUGCCGGAGUGCAUCGUGUGCCCGCCGUGGAAGGGCAAGGACGGGGUCAACGUGCAGUCACUCUGCGUCAGGCCAGAGCACGCCGCCUCCUUCCUGGCCGAGCUCGCCGCAAUGUGA